AAGUUAUCUAGGAACUGAGAUUAUAUAAUGAAGAUUAAAAAGGGCUUUUGUUUCUCUUCUAAUUUCUUAUUUAUGUGAAUUUAGUUGCCUUUCAUACUCUCAGACUUCUUUUUCAUCCAGAUACCCCUCCCUCAAAUCACAAUCCUUUCGUCUAGUUUUCUGUAUUAAGACCUGCCAUUUGUGAUGUUCUGGACUCUACAUCAAACAAUCCUGACCUUUCCAAAAAUUUGCUUUUUGACAGCCAG
rnacentral:lncRNA from 1 species